GCCUGGGUAGCUUAGUCAGUCGAGCAUCUGACUCUUGAUUUCGGCUCAGUUCACGAUCUCAUAGUCUGUGAGUUCAAGCCCCGCCUCAGGCU
rnacentral:tRNA from 1 species